rnacentral:rRNA from 1 species
GAGGUUAAGCGACUAAGCGUACACGGUGGAUGCCCUGGCAGUCAGAGGCGAUGAAGGACGUGCUAAUCUGCGAUAAGCGCCGGUAAGGUGAUAUGAACCGUUAUAACCGGCGAUUUCCGAAUGGGGAAACCCAGUGUGACUCGUCACACUAUCAUUAACUGAAUCCAUAGGUUAAUGAGGCGAACCGGGGGAACUGAAACAUCUAAGUACCCCGAGGAAAAGAAAUCAACCGAGAUUCCCCCAGUAGCGGCGAGCGAACGGGGAGGAGCCCAGAGCCUGAAUCAGCAUGUGUGUUAGUGGAAGCGUCUGGAAAGGCGCGCGAUACAGGGUGACAGCCCCGUACACAAAAGCGCAUGUGCUGUGAGCUCGAUGAGUAGGGCGGGACACGUGGUAUCCUGUCUGAAUAUGGGGGGACCAUCCUCCAAGGCUAAAUACUCCUGACUGACCGAUAGUGAACCAGUACCGUGAGGGAAAGGCGAAAAGAACCCCGGCGAGGGGAGUGAAAA